CUUGAAUUGUCUUUACGAUGUUAGAGAAGCAUAUAGAGCACCAGCUUCUGAUGCAUUUGUGCAUAGAAAUACAAAACCAUCCGAGAAGUCACCCAUGAAAACUGCUUGGAAAACGGGCAGGCGCUUUCCAAAAAUACUUGGCAGUAUCCCUACAAAUUACGUCCACAUUGGACCACACAGUUGACGUCUGAUGCCAACGAGCGGCGGCGAGGCAGCGAAGCAGAAGUUCUCUUUCCAUCACAGAGUUGUAAUUAAUGUACUCGUUUAUUAACUGUAACCAUAAUCUACCCUUUCCUUAACCAAGUGUUUAGUUGCUGAACCAUAAUUUAACCAUGGUGUCUUUGCCAUAACCACAAUCCUUACCUCACAUUAAUCAUACUGUUACCGUGCACUGAUGUUACGGAAGUGACAAUUUUAAAACUGUUGUCAUUGGACGUGAUCCGUGGUUUGCAGAAAUGUUCAGUGUUCUUGUGUGGCGGUAGGAUUAUUUUUUCCUAUAAUUUGGUGUCAUGUACUUCUAGCUGUGGUCUAAUUAGCAUAAACUGCUGUCGAUGUUAAAACAAAUCAUGCAGUUGUAGCUAGCGUUGAGUGUUAUGACGGCAUAAAAUGAAAUGUGUCCACUCAGACUUUCUACUGAAACAGCGAUCUCUUUAAAAUCUCUGGUUGUAUUUUGCUGGCAAUGUUGUAAAUUAAUGAGCAGGACUGUUUUGUGUCAUUAUUGGCUUUAAGGAAGUUUUACAGCAAUGAUUGAUUUUUCUAUGAAUGGGUUCUUAAAUGAAUUUAAAUGUACUAUAUACCAAUAUAUAUUGAAACUGCAACAUAAAAUGACAUACAAAGCGUUUGAAAAUGUUAUCAACAUCACCCUCAUCUUGUAUGACAUCUUAAUGGCAUUUCACAUAUAUGUGGAGUUCAGCAACAUGACUUGAAAUUAAUCUUUGAGACAAAAUUUCUCCAGAAAUCAUGGAGCCAUCAGCCAAUCAACUGUGUAUCCAGAUACAUUUGUUUCUAAAUAUUAUGUUAUUAAAACAGAACACUUGUAGCGGACUGUUAGUAAGUUAUUAGCUUUCUGUCUUUGCUAUUUUUAAGGAAGCGUUUAGCAUAUUACCAACACUAAUUACAGUAAUUAUUUUAACUUUGCAGCAUCACUAUACUUAUUGUAAACAAGAUGAAGAAGCAACAUAAUAAAAGCAACACAGUACAACAGAGAGUUUGUGUAGUUGCAAGUGUCUUUUAUUCUUUUCUCAGACACAAUAGAGCACAUAACCCAGAGCACAAGGGGACUAGAGGGUGUAUGAGACGUGUAUGUCCUGUGAUGAUAGAGAAAUGACUGAUCCAAUGCAAUGUUUGGACAGAAAUGCUAUCACUCAGGCUGAGCAAAGCAAUUCAGUAGAGUUUUUUUUUUUUUUAUGUCAACUUGCAAUAACAAAUCAUACGUGCACUUCUUAUUUGCAAUAUUAAAAAACACAUUUCUAUAAAUUACUGUUAAUGUCGUCGGCGGCGGUGGUGUCUCUCACAUCGGCUGGCGGCUCUGACAUCAGCCAGCAACAGUUUGUUUUGAGUCCAUGAUGUUCUGCAAUGAUUCGUUUCUCUGUCUCUACAGUACAAAUCUCCAGCUCUAUGUUCAAGUGAUAUCUACUGUCAAUAAAUGUAAGAGGACUCUGCAAAAUAAAAACGCUUUAACACAUCAGUCAAAGCUAUAUUUUGAUUAAACACAGUUCUGCAGUUGACACAGCACUGAAAAUGACAGUAGAAUCAAUCACUUAUACUGUAAACUGAUAGCAGUUACAAAUUAAUCUGUUCCACAACAGUAAUAUAUUCAUUUAUAAUUUUCCUCAUAGUUCUCAUUUAUACAACACUGGCUUUAAAGUCAACAUCUUUAAUUUCUUAA